GCACAGGGCGGCAGAGUGACAAAGCCUCGGCUGCCUCCACCCGAAGUGGGAGUGGGAGUGGGAGUCCCUCUUACCAGCCCUCAGCUAGGGGGAGCGUAAAAGUUUGUCUCUGCUCAAGCGUUCCGAACGCCCCAAGGUAAAGGUGGAAGUAAAAGGCCAAGCUGUAUUGAAAAGAGGUGACCUUGGAAUGGUGUAGCCGAGUGCUGCAGAUUGUUUCAAUCGUUCUGCCGAAUACUCCUCAUUUGUGCCUGAGAGGAACUCAAGACUUUAUGUAUGGCCAUUGCUGGGAUCCAGUGUGAUGCUCUACUUUUCCACUGAACUCUACUAUAUUUAAGCUGUUGUUGAGGAAGGAGCUUUGGCAAUAGAAGUAACCAAGUAG
rnacentral:lncRNA from 1 species